GGAAUGUAGCUCAGUGGUACAGCGUUUGCCUAGUAUGCAUUAAGUCCUGGGUUUGAUCCCCAGCACCA
rfam:Ictidomys tridecemlineatus contig059910, whole genome shotgun sequence.